UGGGGAAUAUUGCGCAAUGGGCGAAAGCCUGACGCAGCAACGCCGCGUGGGGGAUGAAGGUUCUCGGAUUGUAAACCCCUUUCGAUCGGAACGAAUCCCCUCCUGGUAAAUAAUCAGGAGGAUCGCCGGUACCGAGAGAAGAAGCCACGGCUAACUCUGUGCCAGCAGCCGCGGUAAGCCAGAGGUGGCGAGCGUUGUUCGGAUUUAUUGGGCGUAAAGCGAACGCAGGCGGUUUGGUAAGUCAGAGGUGAAAGACCACAGCUUAACUGGGGCACGGCCUUUGAUACUGCCGUUCUUGAGUGCAUGAGGGGGAAGCGGAAUUCCGAGUGUAGAGGUGAAAUUCGUAGAUAUUCGGAGGAACACCGGUGGCGAAGGCGGCUUCCUGGCAUGUAACUGACGCUCAUGUUCGAAAGCGUGGGUAGCAAACA
rnacentral:rRNA from 1 species